AUUGAACGCUGGCGGCAGGCCUAACACAUGCAAGUCGAGCGAGCGGCGGACGGGUGAGUAAUGUCUGGGAAACUGCCUGAUGGAGGGGGAUAACUACUGGAAACGGUAGCUAAUACCGCAUACCAUCCGAUGUGCCCAGAUGGGUUUAGCUAGUAGGUGGGGUAACGGCUACCCUAGGCGAAGAGCCCUAGCUGGUCUGAGAUGAUGACAAGCCACACUGUGACUGAGACACGGCCCAGAACCCUACGUGAGGCAGCAGUGGGGAAUAUUGCGCAAUGGGGGCAACCCUGACGCAGCCAUGCCGCGUGAAUGAAGAAGGCUUUCGGGUUGUAAAGUUCUUUCGGUAGCGAGGCGUUAACUACAGAAGAAGCACCGGCUAACUCCGUGCCGGCAGCCGCGGUAAUUC
rnacentral:rRNA from 1 species